rnacentral:pre_miRNA from 7 species
AUUUACACCUACAGCCUUAACAGAUGUCAUGAAAGAACCUAGUGGGGAAACCCUCACUCAACUCCCGAUUCAGCGUGCACCCAAGAAUCACGAACAGAACA